rnacentral:rRNA from 1 species
AAUGAACGCUGGCGGCGUGGAUUAGGCAUGCAAGUCGAACGCGAACGUUUGCCUUCGGGUGAACAAGUAGAGUGGCGUAAGGGUGAGUAAUACUUGGAUAACCUACCUUCAAGUCGGGGACAACAGUUCGAAAGGACUGCUAAUACCCGAUGGUCCUGCGAAGAUACGUCUUCGUAGGUAAAGUUUUUCGCUUGGAGAGGGGUCCAAGGCCUAUCAGCUAGUUGGUGAGGUAAUAGCUCACCAAGGCAAUGACGGGUAGCCGGACUGAGAGGUUGGCCGGCCACAUGGGGACUGAGACACUGCCCUG